rnacentral:rRNA from 1 species
AUUGAACGCUGGCGGCAGGCCUAACACAUGCAACUCGAACGAUUGGCGGACGGGUGAGUAAUGUCUGGGAAACUGCCCGAUGGAGGGGGAUAACUACUGGAAACGGUAGCUAAUACCGCAUACCAUCGGAUGUGCCCAGAUGGGAUUAGCUAGUAGGUGGGGUAACGGCUCACCUAGGCGACGAUCCCUCGCUGGUCUGAGAGUAUGACCAGUCAGACUGUAACUGAGACACGGUCCAGACUCCUACGUGAGGCAGCAGUGGGGAAUAUUGCACAAUGGGCGAAAGCCUGAUGCAGCCAUGCCGCGUGUAUGAAGAAGGCCUUCGGGUUGUAAAGUACUUUCAGCGAGGAGGCGUUACUCGCAGAAGAAGCACCGGCUAACUCCGUGCCAGCAGCCGCGGUAAUUC